UACGGAGGGUGCGAGCGUUGUUCGGAUUUACUGGGCGUAAAGGGCGCGUAGGCGGCGGGUCAAGUCGAGUGUGAAAGCCCCGGGCUCAACCUGGGAAUUGCGCUCGAGACUGGUCUGCUUGAGUUCGGGAGAGGAGCGUGGAAUUCCCAGUGUAGAGGUGAAAUUCGUAGAUAUUGGGAAGAACACCGGUGGCGAAGGCGGCGACCUGGUCCGAUACUGACGCUGAGGCGCGAAAGCGUGGGGAGCAAACAGG
rnacentral:rRNA from 1 species